rnacentral:rRNA from 1 species
UACGGAGGGGGCUAGCGUUGUUCGGAAUUACUGGGCGUAAAGCGCACGUAGGCGGCUUUGUAAGUUAGAGGUGAAAGCCCCGGGCUUAACCUGGGAACUGCGUUUGAUACGGAUGGGCUAGAGUUCGGGAGAGGAGAGUGGAAUUCCCAGUGUAGAGGUGAAAUUCGUAGAUAUUGGGAAGAACACCGGUGGCGAAGGCGGCUCUCUGGACCGAUACUGACGCUGAGGCGCGAAAGCGUGGGGAGCAACAGG